ACAAUGUCGGUCUCACAGAUUCUGGUGCCGAGGAUCUCGUCUCCGCUCUCAGUACAAACCCAUCACUGACAGAGCUGGACCUGAGUCAUAAUGAACUGGGAGAUUCAGGAGUGAAACUGGUGUCUGCGGCUCUGAGGAACCCGGUGUGUAAAAUACAGACACUGCGGCUGUGGUGUGUCGGUCUCACAGAUUUUGGUGCCGAGGAUCUCGUCUCCGCUCUCAGAACAAACCCAUCACUGACGGAGCUGGACCUGGUAUUCAACUCGCUGACAGACCGAUCUGUCCCCGCUCUGCGCCGCCUCAUACUGACCCUCCCGAGACUGGAGCGGAUCUGGCUGGGGGAGAAUCGAUUCAGUCGGACAGGGGAGACGGAACUGAGAUCUCUGCAGGAACCCAGACCGGGACUGAGAGUGGACUGUGAACAUCCGCGCCAGCGGGAUGGGGAUAUAUUGGCAGAUUCCCCGCACUCCCCUUUAAUUCCCCCUCCCCUUUAACUCCCGCCUUUACCUUUAAUGGCCGGGCGCCGGGGUUAAUUCCCAACGGUUUUAAUGGAACCGACUCCAGUCUCGAGCUCAGUGACAUCGGAAGCCAUCCCGUAUUUCCGCCUGCUGUUCGGCGGCGCAGCUUCCGCCGGAUGUGCGGGUUCGAGACUCCCCCACGUGAGACCCGGCGGAAUUACACAGACAGGAAGAGCCCGUGAUCCGGGGCUCAGUCCGGGACACGUGUCCCGGGGUGGGAUAUCCCGGGAGAGAAUCUCUUUACUCCCUUUGCUGAGGGCGGUGUAUUCACAGUCUGGCAGAUAUAAUGAUGUUAAAUAGACAAAUACCUCGGCAGUGACCCUGGAUCUGCAGCGAUCUCUAAUACGGCUCGAAAGUGUGAUUUUAUUAUCAUCGGUUCCCCGAUACAGAGUGACGGUGAAAGACGUAUCUGAAUAUUUAACCUGUCACUCCUUGUCUCCGAACAGUUAAUUGUGUGUGACCGUAAAUGAAUCGGGAACAGCUUAUUUAUUCCCGCACGUCAGAAGCUCAUACAUUGUUUAAUUUGCAUUUGUCAUGAUGAAAUCA